rnacentral:rRNA from 1 species
CAAUAGCGUAUAUUAAAGUUGUUGCAGUUAAAAAGCUCGUAGUUGGAUUUCUGGUGGGAGCGAUCGGUCUGGCGCUUAGCGCGAGUACUUGCAUCGUCUCCGGCCAUCCUUGGGGAGAGUCUGUCUGGCAUUAGGUUGUCGGGCAGAGGAUCCUCAUCGUUUACUGUGAAAAAAUUAGAGUGUUCAAAGCAGGCUUAUGCCGUUGAAUAUAUUAGCAUGGAAUAAUAAGAUAGGACUUUGGUACUAUUUUGUUGGUUUACGCACCGAAGUAAUGAUUAAUAGGGACAGUUGGGGGUAUUCGUAUUCCGUUGUCAGAGGUGAAAUUCUUGGAUUUACGGAAGACGAACUACUGCGAAAGCAUUUACCAAGGAUGUUUUCAUUAA